AGUGAACGCUGGCGGUAUGCCUAACACAUGCAAGUCGAACGGCAGCACAGUAAGAGCUUGCUCUUACGGGUGGCGAGUGGCGGACGGGUGAGGAAUACAUCGGAAUCUACUUUUACGUGGGGGAUAACGUAGGGAAACUUACGCUAAUACCGCAUACGUCCUACGGGUGAAAGCAGGGGUUCUUCGGACCUUGCGCGAUUGAAUGAGCCGAUGUCGGAUUAGAUAGUUGGCGGGGUAAAGGCCCACCAAGGCGACGAUCCGUAGCUGGUCUGAGAGGAUGAUCAGCCACACUGGAACUGAGACACGGUCCAGACUCCUACGGGAGGCAGCAGUGGGGAAUAUUGCACAAUGGGCGAAAGCCUGAUCCAGCAAUACCGCGUGAGUGAUGAAGGACUUCGGGUUGUAAAGCUCUGUUGUUGGGAAAGAAAAGAAGCAGGUUAAUACCCCGCUGUUCUGACGGUACCCAAAGAAUAAGCACCGGCUAACUUCGUG
rnacentral:rRNA from 1 species